CCCUCCUAAAAAAGCAUUUCCCACAUGGAACCGAGGUCCUAUAUAAGUGCAGCAAUGGAUUUGAAAAAGAAAGUGGCUCUGAGAACAUAACCUGCGUUGAAGGGAAAUGGACUGAGACAGAUCUAAUCUGCACGAAAAAUCCACCUCGUGUGGCCAUUGUUGCGAUAGUUUGCUCCAUAGUUGGAAUUUUUAUAAAUUAUCUUGUGAGAAGACAAUGACACUGGAGAAGAGCUGACVCCAGAGUUAUUACAGUUCCAAACUCUAAGUGUCCUUCUUCAUUCAGUUGGACCCAUCUCUAAGGACAUCUACUACAGAUGAAGGACUGGCAAACUCUGAGUGCCUUACCAAGCCUUGGACAAAGCAAGCAGGCUCCCUUUUAUCAUUUUAUAUUUUUUUCACUUUCAAAAGAAGAAAACCAAACGUCAUGAAGGGCAUUGUAUUGUGUCAAAGCUUAAUUUUUAGAGGCACUUUUUGUGCAGUAAUUAUUGCACAUUAUAUU